GACGUAGGGGGCUAGCGUUGCUCGGAAUCACUGGGCGUAAAGCGCACGUAGGCAGAUUGCUAAGUCAGGGGUGAAAUCCUGGAGCUCAACUCCAGAACUGCCUUUGAUACUGGCAACCUUGAGUCCGGGAGAGGUGAGUGGAACUGCGAGUGUAGAGGUGAAAUUCGUAGAUAUUCGCAAGAACACCAGUGGCGAAGGCGGCUCACUGGCCCGGUACUGACGCUGAGGUGCGAAAGCGUGGGGAGCAAACAGG
rnacentral:rRNA from 1 species